UGCACCACGGUCAGCUGUUGCUGCACCACGGUCAGCUGUUGCUGCACCACAGUCAGCUAUUGCUGCACCACGGUCAGCUGUUGCUGCACCACGGUCACCUGUUGCUGCACCACAGUCAGCCUGUUGCUGCACCACGGUCAGCCUGUUGCUGCACCAGUCAGCUGUUGCUGCACCACGGUCAGCUGUUGCUGCACCAGUCAGCUGUUGCUAAACCACGGUCACCUGCUGUUGCACCACGGUCACCUGCUGUUGCACCACGGUCGGCUGCUGCUGCACCACGGUCGGCUGCUGCUGCACCACGGUCAGCUGUUGCUACACCACGGUCAGCUGCUGCUGCACCACAGUCAGCUGCUGCUGCACCACAGUCAGCUGCUGCUACACCACAGUCAGCUGUUGCUGCACCAGUCAGCUGUUGCUGAACCAUGGUGAGCUGCUGUUGCACCAUGGUCAGCUGCUACUGCACCACAGUCAGCUGCUACUGCACCACAGUCAGCUACUGCUGCACCACAGUCAGCUUCUGCUACACCACCAUCAUCUGUUGCUGCACCACGGUCAGCUGCUGCUGCACCACGGUCAGCUACUCCUAGUGGCAUUAAAAGAAGGGAAGUAACCCCAGGAAAGGACGUGCUACCUAAAGUCUUAGUGGAAGGGGAUUCCCCUUCUAAACAUUAACAACUUCCACACUCUCCUCUCCUCCCAUCCCAUCACCAGAUCUUCAGUAAAGGUAAGUGUCAGUUUGUGUGUAUUAAAAUUAAUGUUUCAUGUGGUAAAAAAAAAUUUUUUUUCAUCUUUGUGGUGUCUUGCACGGAUUAAUUUGAUUUCCAUUAUUUCUUAUGUGGAAAAUUAAUUCAGCUAACGAUGAGCUUUCAGGAACGGAUUAAUAUCGUUAGCUGAGGGUCCACUGUAUUAUAACAAAAUGUUUGGAUGAAUGAGCAGAAGUUUCCUCACUCGCCCAGAGACACAGCCACACUGACUCACAAACGCGCAAGAAGCUGGCAGGUGAUGCAUCCAAUGUGGCCAGUAAGCGAAAUAAUGGCCGAUAAUAAAAUUUCAGCCAAAAAAACAAGCAAUAACCAGUUGGCUGAUAUCUGGGAUGGCCAAUAACCGAGGGUCCACUGUAUCUUGUACUAUGGGGUGCACAAUAAAGUACAAAUUUGUACAAAAAUAUAGUCUUGGAGACUGUGAAAUUAGUGUACUGAGUGGCUGUAGGAAGGAGAUUGAGAUGCUUGAUGCCGAGACACUGCGCUGCCUGUUUCCAUGACCCAAGUUCUCGUAUAGCAUACAAUACCAACUUGUCAGAGAGCCUGUCAUAUCUCCGAGUUUUCGGUAAAUGAGGUGAGGAUAUAUAUACAUCUAAAUGGUGCACAGUCUAAUGGUUAAAGAGGCUGCAUACUCUUCCUGUAAUGCUGUAGGUCAGGCAUAUAAAAGUACAGUAUGUUCAAACUACUUAAAAACAGGUGCUUGCAUGUGAUGUGCUAUUAGUCUGCAUGUUCAUUUUGUGUGUGUUUUAUUUAUUUCAAGUUUUUCUUUUUCAGUAUUUAGUUAUAUGUACACCUAGUAAAAGCAUUUGACAAAUAUUACUAUGGAGAGAUCUUAUGAAAUAAGAUCAAAUGGUGCAAUAGAUAAGCUAGGGAACUAGAAAUUAAUUUUCUAACAAAUAGAUCACAAAUUAACCAAAUCCAUAUUGGAGUACAGUCAAAAGCUGAGUUCCACAAAGCACUGUCCAGGGACUUUUAAUUGCAUCCUCAUACUAGAUAUAGACAAGCACAUAGACCAUAGCUUCAUGUUCUCUUUUUCGAAGAUUCAAAAAUAAAUAUAAAAAUUACUUAGGCUAAAUCCAUUUACAAAUUACGAUCAGAUGUCAACCAGGCUGGGCUAGUGAGAGCACAUAAUUUUUUUCUUUAAUUAUAGGAACCUUGAUCUGGACCAGUUUAGUGUGAUGGUAGGAGCUGCUAUUAGCAAGAUGUAUGAACUUGCACUGUCUCUUGACCAGUUAGCAAAGAUUUGUGGCUGUGACUAGCAAGUUGUGUCCUUUGAGCAUUAAACAGUUCUUGAUUUGUGGCUUUCCCUGCUUGUUAUUUCUGUUUCCCAGGUAUGCAGGUUUCAGAGUGUUAAGCAUCGAUGGUGCAGAUUGCAUACUCCUGGAUCAUAGUCUAACUGUACAAGCCAAUAAAGCAGUGAUGGACAGGGUAUCGGCUCGUAGGUGGAAUAUAUUCUGCAGGGAAAAAAUUUAACAUUUCUUGUUGAAAUCAGAGAGGCUCCUGUUCACCCAUCUAGAUUAUCUGCUUGGCUGUGUAUCUGAACCUGCUUUGCAUACCUCUGAUUCAGCUUAGCAGUGUCUGCUAAGAAUCAGGAGGCUGUUCAUGAUUUAAAGCUUUGGUUGCAAAUGCAUCCCUCUUCUAGAGCUUAUAAUCGUGAUGGUAACAUACUGUCACUCUAAUAUAAACUUUAGUAUUUCUUCUUUAUUGUUGUUACAUUUAUGGCUUGGUGUGAGAGUGCAUGUGAAUCUUUUGUGAACAGGUGUUCAAUAACAAAAUUCCAGAUUAUUAUUAGUCUCAACUAUAGCAAUAUAUAAUGUCCCUUAAUACCUAGCAAUAUUAUCUCAUCUGACUGACUGCAUUAAAUACACUACAUCCUUGUAGGGUUCAACAUUUUGAAAGGAACUGAGAAUAAAAAGGUGCUUUUACAUAUUGUUCCUGGAUCUGUUCUGUGUAGUUGGAAUAUAAACAAACUGACUCAGUGUAAAAGUCACAACUUUGAUAUAGUUUUUAAUAUAUACCAUCAUUAUUAAUAAAGGCCCUAAGUAAAUGUGUGUACUUUUAGAGUAAAAAAAUCUAUGUUGAAGUCAUCCAUUAUAGUAAUAGCAUUUUCUUAAUAAAGUAAUAUUUUUUCAGCUAAAAUAUUACAUACAUAAAGUAAAUAUUAAAUAAUCUUUGCUUACAGGUGGGACAGACAAUCAUCUGGUCCUAGUAGAUCUUCGACCUAAAGGUUUAGAUGGUGCAAGGGUGGAGACCAUCUGCAACAUGUGCAAUAUCACUGUCAACAAGAACUCUGUUCCUGGUGAUAAGAGUGCCCUCACCCCUGGUGGCCUCAGGCUAGGAACUCCAGCUCUCACAUCCCGGAACUUUAAGAAUGAAGAAUUCGUGUAUGUUGUUGAACUCUUGGACCAAGCCUGUUCCAUUGCUCUUGAUGCAAAGAAAAAAUCUGGAAAAAAAUUAGUAGAUUUUAAAGCAGCAGUUGACAAUGACACAGAAAUCAAAGCAAAAAUUGAAGCAUUACAGACAAAAGUUAAUGACUUUUCAUUGAAAUUCCCAAUGCCUGGUUUUGAUGACCAUUGAUUUUGCCACAUUGGCUCAGAAAUAAUCUAAAUACUUACAUAUCCACUACCAGCCUCAAUGUAAUGUUAAUGCACAAAGUUUUGUCACGUAAAACCUUGUAAAUGAAUUUGAUUUAUGAAAUUUAUAUUUAAAUUGUUGACAAUAUUACAUUCAUGAAGAAGUGCCAAACUUCACAGUGACAUUACAUGUCACUAUGGAAUUCGGUGGAAAUCUGGUCUGAUCAGAGGAUCAAGAGCUGUUCACCAACAACAAGCCAUUUUUUUCCCUUGCAGGAAAAUUGUGAUGGUUAGUUUUUUAACAUUUUAUCUCAUCGAGGAUUACCAGUAAUUUAUGGAAUUAUAAAUAAAUUUAUUUUCA